GGAUGUGCCCAGAUGGGAUUAGCUAGUAGGUGGGGUAACGGCUCACCUAGGCGACGAUCCCUAGCUGGUCUGAGAGGAUGACCAGCCACACUGGAACUGAGACACGGUCCAGACUCCUACGGGAGGCAGCAGUGGGGAAUAUUGCACAAUGGGCGCAAGCCUGAUGCAGCCAUGCCGCGUGUAUGAAGAAGGCCUUCGGGUUGUAAAGUACUUUCAGCGGGGAGGAAGGGAGUAAAGUUAAUACCUUUGCUCAUUGACGUUACCCGCAGAAGAAGCACCGGCUAACUCCGUGCCAGCAGCCGCGGUAAUACGGAGGGUGCAAGCGUUAAUCGGAAUUACUGGGCGUAAAGCGCACGCAGGCGGUUUGUUAAGUCAGAUGUGAAAUCCCCGGGCUCAACCUGGGAACUGCAUCUGAUACUGGCAAGCUUGAGUCUCGUAGAGGGGGGUAGAAUUCCAGGUGUAGCGGUGAAAUGCGUAGAGAUCUGGAGGAAUACCGGUGGCGAAGGCGGCCCCCUGGACGAAGACUGACGCUCAGGUGCGAAAGCGUGGGGA
rnacentral:rRNA from 1 species